CCUUGAUCAAAUUAAUUAUAUCACUAAAGCGGACGGACGGAAAAAAUAUGCUGAAUAAGCAUUUAAAUUAAAAGAUGCUGCAACGAUACCAAACUCGCAUCGGCCGCUUCGCUUAAGAGCACGGACCAUACCAGACGUGGACCAGCGACAUAAUGUGUCCAGGGCAGAUGAACUGGUAAGUGUCAAAUAAAUAAUACGCCACGGCGUAUUCUUUAUUACUCCUCUCAGCCCCCUACUUGCACUCACCACGGCAUCCCUCGCUCCAUGUCCAAGAUGCCAUAGCGAUAGAAAGACGGGUCGGCCCGACAUACACCGAGGUCGUCAAGAGGCUCUACCGUGGUUGAGUGAUCUCCUGGGGCCGGCAUCGAAAGAUGACAAUCUCUCGUCCGGACAAAACGCCUUCCGCCGCAACUCGCGCUCCAUGUCCAAGAUGCCAUAGUGAUAGAAAGACGGGUCACCCACUGCGAGGUUGACAGCGAGCUCUCCGGCGGUCGAGGCACCCCAGAUAGGCAGAGAGAAAUGACACUACCUCGUUCUAACCCCUGUGCACAUUACACUACUGGAACACUCCUGGCGGCCCCGCACUCGCGACUGCGUAAGACCACGAGUUUCGUCGCUCUCAGUCCCCGACGGAUAAUUCAGGUAAGUAUAAGGUAAGUAUAAAGUUCCAAUUCUCUAGGUCCAUUUACUCAUCGUACCCACACACACGUCCUUCACCGCCUGUUGACCAUGGGAUGUAACUUGCAAGGAAUUUUAUGGAAGCAAUUCAAAUGACCAUCUAUAGACGGUUCCGCCUAAACUGCCGCCCAAGGCGAACAAAAAAAAUCUAGGUUUAAUCCAGAAACUGCGUGCCUGCCAAAACUAAAGCUAAGUAUCCUUAAAUCUAAAAUUAAAAGAUAAUUCAAAUUCUAAUUCAUUUUUCGUUUAUCCUAUAGCUUCCUACACUAAUGGCUUAAACCUAUUGACCUUGGACCCAUGUGAUGGAAUCCAACUUAUAACUAAAACGGUAUGAAAUCCAAAAUUCACAAACCAGGUAGAAAGGGUAGUGCAUAUAUCCUAACAUAAGGUGGGGAACAAGUGAGAGAAGAGCAAAUCCAAGCGGAUAAGCGAAGCAUUCUAAGUUUCCAAAUAGGACUUCUCCAAACGUAUCCGGAAACUGCCUUCUCUGCCGUAAUGUAUUGUAUGACCCUGAGAUGCUGUAGUAUAUUGGUAUUACGUUUGCUACCUACGGACAUAACCACACGGCUGUUGUUGAACACAUAAAGAUAAACCCAACAACGUCUCAUGUGCUUUGGCUCAUGGGUAUGAUUGUAUUAAGCGGACGGACAGGCCCGUCGCAAACGAAAUGCGAAUACCAAAAUCCUUAAGCUUCGUGACUUACGGGAGUUAAAGAUUAGUAAAACACCGUGCCACAUCCUGCAUCUAACCAGCUUCCAGUCACCACCAGUUUGGCACGCGAUCCAAGCUUUUGAAAACUUACGAUCGGGACUCAAUCCGGUAACCGAAAUCCGAUCAGUUGCUGGCUGUGGCGAUAAAAUGAUGCGGUCAACCCGAUAACUCGGGCCCCACGUUGGGCGCCAUUCUUGUCGUGGACCCCGGAGGGUCCGAACUAUCUCAGCGGAGAAAGGGGACAUAGCGUGCUGGCGAGCGCUGGCUGUUGGCGUUAGAGCUCCGGCUGUGGCUCAGUCUGGGGCGCGGUUCUUGCCAACACACCAUGUCCAGAGACAGGUGACAAAAAAAAUUCAAAUUUCAAACCAGCUCUGGAUGGAAAUGAAAAACACAGGGUCCCACUUAUGUUAAGGCAGGCAUGUCUUUCGCCUUCUUACUCGCACCUUCCGCUAUGGAUUCGCUCUUCAGGGGGCACUGAGACAUCCUACAGUGCCCUGGACGGCCCACCCCAACCAUGGUAUCCGUUGUCCAACAGUUUUGGAUACCCCAGAAUCGGUCUCCCUUAUCCCCCCUUACAGCUUGGUGCACUACCCCCUUCUUACCUUAGAUAACUACUCCUCCAUUGUGAAAUGAAAACUAGGCAAAGGCGAAUUUCAUUUCAAACGUUAUAAACGGUGUAUUGGGUCUUCUCAUGGUGUCUGGCCUUCCUUCAGGGUCGUCUCUCCUAACUGGAGUCAGUGCUGGAGCGGCUGAGCAGUGCCCACGCUUUCCUCUUGUCUGUCCGUCCGUCUGGUUGUGGCCUAAGUUCGCAAAGCGAACACCAACAGCAGUAAGGGCUCCUUUCCGCCCCAAAGGUCUAGAAUCUUUACCCCCUGGCCCUAGGUUGAGCUCGACCUAACAGCUGAGGACAGCGCCUAUUUAUUCUAGCGCUGUGUUACUUAUAGAAAGGAAAUAUGUGUGUCAAGGUCCUGUCCGUCCGUCUGAGUUCACGUAUACGUCCCGCAAUAGUGUUCGUGAGGAAAAGGGUACCUGCAGCACUGUCGGCUGACCAGUGCUUUUGAUAUAGAGCUUCCCACGAUGGACAGAGGAGGUGGAGGUGUAGCUUUAUGUUUUCGCGUUUGGCUUUUUGUUAUUUUGUGAUCAACUUUAGUGGUGUCUAUUGUCUUUGAUUUUCAAGUUUAGGAUUUUUAACUAUUGGCUUUGAUUUAGUUUUUAGUUUUUUUUUUUCUUUUUAGGUCUUUUAUUAUUACAUUGGUAUUUUCCUUUUUUUUUUCAGGUUCUUUGGCUUUGUUUCGAAACUUUUCCCUUUUCAGGUUCCUUUUUAUUUAAUUUGAUAACAUUUCUUUUUUUUUUUCCAGAGUUUUCAUAGAUUUUCUUUUUCAGCUUUUAAUAACUUUCAGUUCGAUUUAUUUUAAUCACCUUUUUUUUUCAUAAUCUUCUUUUUCAGCUCUUUAGUUUUUAAUUUGUAUUUAUUUUUAUUUAUUUUGUUACAGCUUUUAAAACUUCUCAAUAAUUUAUAGUUAAUUUUUUUUCCUCUUUCAGCAAAUGUGCUGAAAGUUCAAUAAAUCACUUUAAAACUUUGAAUUUGGUCUUUUUCUUUGUUGUUGGGUAAAAGCCAGUUCCGCCUCCUUUUCUCUGCCGAAUCCAAAACCAAAAAAAAGCCUUCUCUCUUUUUGAAAACACCACUUUCUACACUCCUGAUGACACCACCUCUUACUGCUUGCACGGCUCCAUCCAAAAAGAACUCGUCAUCUUCCCUUUACUGUCCAUCAUGGUUCCCCCAAGCCAUCAUGUCCACCGAGGAACCAUC